AUUGAACGCUGGCGGCAUGCUUUACACAUGCAAGUCGAACGGCGGCGCGGGCUUCGGCCUGGCGGCGAGUGGCGAACGGGUGAGUAAUGCAUCGGAACGUGCCCAGUAGUGGGGGAUAGCCCGGCGAAAGCCGGAUUAAUACCGCAUACGACCUGCGGGUGAAAGCGGGGGGCCGAAAGGCCUCGCGCUAUUGGGGCGGCCGAUGUCGGAUUCGCUAGGUGGUGGGGGAAAGGCUUACCCAGGCGACGAUCCGUAGCUGGUCUGAGAGGACGACCAGCCACACUGGGACUGAGACACGGCCCAGACGCCUACGGGAGGCAGCAGUGGGGAAUUUUGGACAAUGGGGGCAACCCUGAUCCAGCCAUGCCGCGUGCGGGAAGAAGGCCUUCGGGUUGUAAACCGCUUUUGUUCGGGAAGAAAUCCUCUGGGCUAAUACCCCGGGGGGAUGACGGUACCGGAAGAAUAAGCACCGGCUAACUACGUG
rnacentral:rRNA from 1 species